AUCUGUACUUCAAGUGAAUAUACUGCGUCAAAAGGAUUAGCAUAGCUGGUUGUGGAGUAUGUGUGUCUGGAUAGUAUGGUGCAACAAAUAUAUGAAUGUAAUUAGUUUCGUACUUCCUGUGUGUGAUGCGGUAUAUGGUGAUAUACUACAUAUAGUUGCGUACCAUAUUUGCAAUUUCGUAGGAAUAUUUAGUGGUUGAUAUAUUUUCCAAGUAUCCUUGUUUGAAUUGCAGAAAAU
rnacentral:lncRNA from 1 species